AUUGAACGCUGGCGGCAUGCCUUACACAUGCAAGUCGAACGGUAACAGGUCUUCGGAUGCUGACGAGUGGCGAACGGGUGAGUAAUACAUCGGAACGUGCCUAGUAGUGGGGGAUAACUACUCGAAAGAGUGGCUAAUACCGCAUGAGAUCUACGGAUGAAAGCAGGGGAUCGCAAGACCUUGUGCUACUAGAGCGGCCGAUGGCAGAUUAGGUAGGUGGUGGGAUAAAAGCUUACCAAGCCGACGAUCUGUAGCUGGACUGAGAGGACGAUGAGCCACACUGGGACUGAGACACGGCCCAGACUCCUACGGGAGGCAGCAGUGGGGAAUUUUGGACAAUGGGCGCAAGCCUGAUCCAGCAAUGCCGCGUGCAGGAUGAAGGCCUUCGGGUUGUAAACUGCUUUUGUACGGAACGAAAAGCCCUGGGUUAAUACCCUGGGGUCAUGACGGUACCGUAAGAAUAAGCACCGGCUAACUACGUGCCAGCCGCCGCAGUAA
rnacentral:rRNA from 1 species